GCCAUCGCCACCCUCACCCGCCCUCCCUGGGGUCUUCUGAGAGACGGUGAGGCUGUUUUCUGCCAAGGGAACCAGGCCUGGCGUUGGCCACUUCCAACGCAGGCAGCUGAAAGCACCCCUCGCAGGGAGGAGCUCGGGGGCUGAGGGGCUCAGGAGAGUCUGUCUUGGGAAGGGAAGGCCCGAAGGCCCUGGGGAGCUGCUGAGCUGUGACCUGGCUGGAAGCUGGGAGGGUGAUGUCCCUGGAAGGAAGACACUGGCAUGCCGCAGCCAGGUGCAGGCAGCCAAAGGACAAACCCGCGUGUGAGUCUUCACGCCCAGAGACUGGAGGUGGAAAGACAGAGUUUCGCUCUUGUUGCCCAGGCUGGAAUACAGUGACAUGAUCUCAGCUCACUACAACCUCUGCCUUCCAGGUUCAAGUGAUUCUCCUGCCUCAACCUCCU
rnacentral:lncRNA from 10 species